rnacentral:rRNA from 1 species
UAGGGAAUCUUCGGCAAUGGACGAAAGUCUGACCGAGCAACGCCGCGUGAGUGGAGAAGGUUUUCGGAUCGUAAAACUCUGUUGGUAGAGAAGAACGUUGGUGAGAGUGGAAAGCCCAUCAAGUGACGGUAACUACCCAGAAAGGGACGGCUAACUACGUGCCAGCAGCCGCGGUAAUACGUAGGUCCCGAGCGUUGUCCGGAUUUAUUGGGCGUAAAGCGAGCGCAGGUGGUUUAUUAAGUCUGGGGUAACAGGCAGUGGCUCAACCAUUGUAUGCAUUGGAAACUGGUAGACUUGAGUGCAGGAGAGGAGAGUGGAUUUCCGUGUGUAGCGGUGAUAUGAGUAGAUAUAUGGGGGAACUACGGUAGCGAAAGCGGCUCUCUGGCCUGGAACUGGCACUGAGGCUCGAAAGCGUGGGGAGCAAAC